GUCUGAUUAUUUUUUGUGCCUUUGCAGGAUUUGGUUGGUUGUUCAAAAAAAUUAUGGCACCUAUCACUUCCAAGCAAUCUGUUCGCUGUUCAAGAAGUUAAUGACCGGAUAACAUCAGUUCUAAUGGAAUGGUUGUUGGUUAUUAUGUGAUUGCUGGCUGGCCACCUGCUCCUGUACCGUCUAGCAAUAAGGUGUUUUGCUGCCUUGCGUGGUACAUAUAUUCACUAGUUAUUGCUAAUGGCUUAAUAAUGGCACUCUGCAGAUUGGAGAAAAUAUUGUUU